CUAUGAGAAAGCACGUAACA
rnacentral:miRNA from 1 species